ACGCACCUUUCGGGGUGAGUGGCGGACGGGUGAGUAACGCGUGAGAAUCUGCCUUUUGGUCGGGGACAACCACUGGAAACGGUGGCUAAUACCGGAUGUGCCUACGGGUAAAAGAUUUAUUGCCAGAAGAAGAGCUCGCGUCUGAUUAGCUAGUUGGUAGGGUAAAAGCCUACCAAGGCAUCGAUCAGUAGCUGGUCUGAGAGGAUGACCAGCCACACUGGGACUGAGACACGGCCCAGACUCCUACGGGAGGCAGCAGUGGGGAAUUUUCCGCAAUGGGCGAAAGCCUGACGGAGCAAGACCGCGUGAGGGAGGAAGGCUCUUGGGUUGUAAACCUCUUUUGUCAGGGAAGAAGAAAGUGACGGUACCUGACGAAUCAGCAUCGGCUAACUCCGUGCCAGCAGCCGCGGUAAUACGGAGGAUGCAAGCGUUAUCCGGAAUUAUUGGGCGUAAAGCGUCCGCAGGUGGCACUUCAAGUCUGUCGUCAAAGACCGGGGCUUAAUCCUGGAAAGGCGAUGGAAACUGAAAGGCUAGAGAGAGGUAGGGGUAGAGGGAAUUCCCAGUGUAGCGGUGAAAUGCGUAGAGAUUGGGAAGAACAUCGGUGGCGAAAGCGCUCUACUGGACCUCAUCUGACACUCAGGGACGAAAGCUAGGGGAGCGAAUGGGAUUAGAUACCCCAGUAGUCCUAGCCGUAAACGAUGGAUACUAG
rnacentral:rRNA from 1 species